AAUAAAAGUAUAUUAAUAGGUUUAGUAACAUUUAAAUUAUGUUAUUGAUUAAAAGGGAAGUUGGGUGUAAAUCCCGCGCGGUCCCGCCGCUGUAAAAGAGUAGUCUUUUUUCUAAUACCACUGUUAAUACGGGAAGGUUAAAAAGAUGAUGAUACUUGAGCCAGAAGACCUGCCUAUUAGUUACACUGUAG
rnacentral:ncRNA from 2 species